GCAGUUGGGAUACGUCAUAGUUGGGCUGUAGAAGUAUCAUACUCCAAAACCUGUAUGAUAUUUGAAAAUCCAAAAGGACUGGAUGAAUUGGGAAAUAUGAUAAAACUUACAACCAGUUGAUAAAUGACAUGAUACAAAAAAGAGUGACAGAAUUCAUAGGACAAUAAUAAGAAAGUAAGGGACUGAAUUUCUAGUCAGAAAUUGCAGGCUCAACCUGAUAGAUUAACUAGGCGGAAACUAGAUAUUCUUGUCAUGGAUUUUAUCAGCUCCAAAGUCCAAGAUGGAGAACUCUAUCACAAUAUAGAAUAA